rnacentral:rRNA from 1 species
CCCUUAGAUGUUCUGGGCUGCACGCGCGCUACACUGAUGCGCUCAACGAGUUUACGACCUUGCCCGGAAGGGUUGGGUAAUCUUUUUAAAACGCAUCGUGAUGGGGAUAGAUUAUUGCAAUUAUUAAUCUUUAACGAGGAAUUCCUAGUAAGCGCGAGUCAUCAGCUCGUGCUGAUUACGUCCCUGCCCUUUGUACACACCGCCCGUCGCUCCUACCGAUUGAAUGGUCCGGUGAAAUCUUCGGACCGUGACUUUGAUUUGUUUACUCAAAACGCUGUUACGGGAAGUUGAUUAAACCUUACCAUUUAGAGGAAGGUGAAGUCGUAACA